UAACCUACGGGACGCAGCAGUGGGGAAUAUUGCGCAAUGGGCGAAAGCCUGACGCAGCGACGCCGCGUGAGGGAUGAAGGUCUUCGGAUCGUAAACCUCUGUCAGCAGGGAAGAACGGUCACUGUGCUAAUCAGCAGUGAAUUGACGGUACCUGCAAAGGAAGCACCGGCUAACUCCGUGCCAGCAGCCGCGGUAAUACGGAGGGUGCGAGCGUUAAUCGGAAUUCCUGGGCGUAAAGCGCUCGUAGGCGGGAUGUCAAGUCAAGGGUGAAAUCCCCGCGCUCAACGUGGUACCUGCCUUUUAAA
rnacentral:rRNA from 1 species